CAGUCGCCACGGUAAUACGUAGGUGGCAAGCGUUGUCCGGAAUUAUUGGGCGUAAAGGGCUCGCAGGCGGUUUCUUAAGUCUGAUGUGAAAGCCCCCGGCUCAACCGGGGAGGGUCAUUGGAAACUGCGAAACUUGAGUGCAGAAGAGGAGAGUGGAAUUCCACGUGUAGCGGUGAAAUGCGUAGAGAUGUGGAGGAACACCAGUGGCGAAGGCGACUCUCUGGUCUGUAACUGACGCUGAGGAGCGAAAGCGUGGGGAGCGAACAGGAUUAGAUACCCCAGUAGUCCCUGUCUCUUAUAC
rnacentral:rRNA from 1 species